UAAAUUGAAGCCGAAUGUAUAGGCGCUUAGCUGUUAACUAAGAGAUAGUGGGACAAACACCCACCAAUUUAG
rnacentral:tRNA from 1 species